AGUGAACGCUGGCGGUAGGCCUAACACAUGCAAGCCGAACGGCAGCACAGGAGAGCUUGCUCUCUGGGUGGCGAGUGGCGGACGGGUGAGGAAUACAUCGGAAUCUACUUUUUCGUGGGGGAUAACGUAGGGAAACUUACGCUAAUACCGCAUACGACCUACGGGUGAAAGCAGGGGACCUUCGGGCCUUGCGCGAUUGAAUGAGCCGAUGGCGGAUGAGCUAGUUGGCGGGGUAAAGGCCCACCAAGGCGACGAUCCGUGGCUGGUCUGAGAGGAUGAGCAGCCACACUGGAACUGAGACACGGUCCAGACUCCUACGGGAGGCAGCAGUGGGGAAUAUUGGACAAUGGGCGCAAGCCUGAUCCAGCCAUACCGCGUGGGUGAAGAAGGCCUUCGGGUUGUAGAGCCCUUUUGUUGGGAAAGAAAUCCAGCUGGCUAAUACCCGGUUGGGAUGACGGUACCCAAAGAAUAAGCACCGGCUAACUUCGUGCCAGCCGCCGCCGUAA
rnacentral:rRNA from 1 species